rnacentral:rRNA from 1 species
AAUAGAUACCCUGGUAGUCCACGCCGUAAACGAUGAGUGCUAAGUGUUAGAGGGUUUCCGCCCUUUAGUGCUGCAGCUAACGCAUUAAGCACUCCGCCUGGGGAGUACGGUCGCAAGACUGAAACUCAAAGGAAUUGACGGGGGCCCGCACAAGCGGUGGAGCAUGUGGUUUAAUUCGAAGCAACGCGAAGAACCUUACCAGGUCUUGACAUCCUCUGACACUCCUAGAGAUAGGAUUUUCUCCUUCGGGGGACAGAGUGACAGGUGGUGCAUGGUUGUCGUCAGCUCGUGUCGUGAGAUGUUGGGUUAAGUCCCGCAACGAGUGCAACCCUUGAUCUUAGUUGCCAGCAUUUAGUUGGGCACUCUAAGGUGACUGCCGGUGACAAACCGGAGGAAGGUGGGGAUGACGUCAAAUCAUCAUGCCCCUUAUGACCUGGGCUACACACGUGCUACAAUGGAUGGUACAAAGGGCAGCGAAGCCGCGAGGUGGAGCCAAUCCCAUAAAACCAUUCUCAGUUCGGAUUGCG